UAGGGAAUCUUCCGCAAUGGACGCAAGUCUGACGGAGCAACGCCGCGUGAGUGAAGAAGGAUUUCGGUUCGUAAAACUCUGUUGUUAGAGAAGAACAGCGCAUAGAGUAACUGUUAUGCGUGUGACGGUAUCUAACCAGAAAGCCACGGCUAACUACGUGCCAGCAGCCGCGGUAAUACGUAGGUGGCAAGCGUUGUCCGGAUUUAUUGGGCGUAAAGCGAGCGCAGGCGGUCAAUUAAGUCUGAUGUGAAAGCCCCCGGCUCAACCGGGGAGGGUCAUUGGAAACUGGUUGACUUGAGAGCAGAAGAGGAGAGUGGAAUUCCAUGUGUAGCGGUGAAAUGCGUAGAUAUAUGGAGGAACACCAGUGGCGAAGGCGACUCUCUGGUCUGUAACUGACGCUGAGGCUCGAAAGCGUGGGUAGCAAACAGG
rnacentral:rRNA from 1 species